CCCGCUGAACUUAAGCAUAUCAAUCAGCGGAGGAAAAGAAACUAACGAGGAUUCCCCCAGUAACGGCGAGUGAAACGGGAACAGCUCAAGUUUAAAAUCUGAAGCUCUCUACAGUGCGUAUUUCCUCUGUCAAAGGGGGUGGUGCGUGCGGUCAAUCAAGAGAUUCAUGCUUCCGAAUUGUAGUCUUGGAAUCUUACAUCCACUCAGAGGUCAACUUGAGUCAAAGUCCUUUGGAAAGAGGCAUCAUGGAGGGUGACAAUCCCGUUCAUGGCUCAAUCGGUUGUGUCCUUUGUCAAAUCGUGUGUUGCGAGCAUUCAUGAGUCGGGUUGUUUGAGAAUGCAGCCCAAAGUGGGGUGGUAAAUUCCAUCCAAAGCUAAAUACAGGCGAAAGACCGAUAGCGCACAAGUACCGUGAGGGAAAGAUGCAAAGAACUUUGAAAAGAGAGUUAAAAGUACUUGAAAUUGUUGAGAGGGAAGCGUUUGACGCUCCUAUUCGUUCCUUUGGUUUCCACCAAUCGCAACACACCCCUGUUUGGCAAAUUCAGUUCAUUUUCCUGUUGAGCAAAUUGAUGUUCAUUUUUGUGUGACAAGAUCAUUUGGUGACAAGGUGGGCAACUUCCUUGCAAAUCUCAUCACUUGUCGUGUGAAAUGUUGGAUGUCUUUGGCGCGAUGGAAAUGGGUGCACUUUUGUUCAGGAGGUGAGCCAGCAUCAGUUUUUCAAUAAAUUAUUGGCAGGUCAAAACUCAUGGGUUGUUAUUCAAAAGUAGUUUCUUUUGUGUCGAAGCAAAAGGAAUGAUCCCUGUGCAGACUUUUUUACUGUCAGAAAGACUGAGGAAAUACUUUUACAAACAUGCAGUCGCAAGGCAUUCCCCAUAAAUUCAUCUGGGAGAUCUUUGAGGGCAAGAAUCGUUUUUGUUUGAGGUGUUGAGUGGCGUGAGGAAACGAGCCUUUGUUAUUGUCAUCUGUGGGGUCAAACUCAUGGGUGGUGGUGAUGGGGGUCACGCUCUUGCGUUUGCUUGAUGUUUCUCAGGCGGUUUUUGUGCGAUUGUGGGCCGUGAUAACAAACGCUCACACGUAUCAAUGCUUCGAAGCAAGUCUUUCUUGUGGUGGGAGAAACGCAUGGUUGAAGAUGCUUUGGCAACAAAGGGCGUCAAAUGACCCGUCUUGAAACACGG
rnacentral:rRNA from 1 species